AUAGCAGGCUGGUUUGUCGCUUCUUUUUCAAAGGAGAAGAGGAAAGUCCGGGCAACACAGAGCACCAUACUUCCUAACAGGAAGCUAUCUGCAAAGGUAGAGAAACGUAACAGAAAAUAACCGUCUCAUUUCUAUGAGAUAAGGGUGAAAAGGCGAGGUAAGAGCUCACCGGUAUGAUUGGUGACAAUCAUAGCCGUACGACUUAUGGGUUGCAAGAUCAAAUAUACCGACGCAUGUAGGGUGGCUCGUCCGAUGUCGGGGGGUAGAUCGCUAAAAGCAAAUGGUGACAUUUGUUUCAGAUAAAUGGCAAACGCUUUGAAAAAAGUACAGAACCCGGCUUACAAGCCUGCUAUUUUU
rnacentral:RNase_P_RNA from 1 species